CUACCCUUGACAUGCUAGGAAUUCUGCAGAGAUGUGGAAGUGCUCGAAAGAGAACCUAGACACAGGUGCUGCAUGGCCGUCGUCAGCUCGUGUCGUGAGAUGUUGGGUUAAGUCCCGCAACGAGCGCAACCCUUGUCAUUAGUUGCUACGAAAGGGCACUCUAAUGAGACUGCCGGUGACAAACCGGAGGAAGGUGGGGAUGACGUCAAGUCCUCAUGGCCCUUAUAGGUGGGGCUACACACGUCAUACAAUGGCUGGUACAGAGGGUUGCCAACCCGCGAGGGGGAGCCAAUCCCAUAAAGCCAGUCGUAGUCCGGAUCGCAGUCUGCAACUCGACUGCGUGAAGUCGGAAUCGCUAGUAAUCGCGGAUCAGAAUGUCGCGGUGAAUA
rnacentral:rRNA from 1 species